rnacentral:rRNA from 1 species
CGUGAGCGACAUGCCCGUUGCCCGGGGACAACCGGUGGAAACGCCGACUAAUCCCCGAUGGGACGGAGGCCCUCAUGGGUCUCUGUUGAAAGUUACGGCGGCGACGGAUUGGCUCGCGUCCGAUUAGCUAGUUGGCGGGGUAACGGCCCACCAAGGCUACGAUCGGUAGGGGUUCUGAGAGGAAGGUCCCCCACAAUGGAACUGAGACACGGUCCAUACUCCUACGGGAGGCAGCAGUGAGGAAUAUUGGUCAAUGGGCGGAAGCCUGAACCAGCCAUGCCGCGUGCGGGAAGGAGGCCCUAUGGGCUGUGAACCGCUUUUGCCUGGGGGCAAUAAGGGCGUCGCGCACGUCCGAUGAGAGUACCAGGGGAAUAAGCAUCGGCUAACUCCGUGCCAGCAGCCGCGGUAAUACGGGGGAUGCGAGCGUUAUCCGGAUUCAUUGGGUUUAAAGGGUGCGUAGGCUGUGCGUCAAGUCAGGGGUGAAAUUCCGGGGCUCAACU